GGAUGUGAGGCAAUUUGGCUGUGACAUCUGUCACUACAUUGGUUGCCAGGGUUGGAUUUGCUGAUCCCGUUGGCUUAGCUGGUGUCUCCUUCUCCCUUACAUAUGCAGCUGUCCCCAAACUGUGCAAUAGAGCCAAGAGAACAACCAUCCUGGAUAAAAGAAGCAUGCAACUUUGAUCAAGAGUGUAGAGUAACCGUGCUCCCCUACUAGAAGGUCCAAACAAGCUUUCAAAGACAAGAAGAAGAACAGAAAGAACAAGCCCAAGAUAAAUAUCCUUGUAGAGAGGAAUAA
ensembl:misc_RNA 7SK 7SK RNA